rnacentral:misc_RNA from 1 species
GGCGGUAGGACCAACAACAAAUACUCACGUAGUUAAAUAAUAAAUGUUGAAAAAUGGCACUAAAGGACAGUGAACAGUUUAAAAAGUUACUUACAAGUGUAUUAAAACCUUUUGAACGUAGUAUCAGUGAAAUAAACAAAAAACUGGAUAGUUUAUCUAAUGAAAUCAGUGAAAUUAAAUCGGUUAUUUUCUCAAACAGUACUGAGAGCUCCUCGAGCAAAGUGGUAAACAAUUACAAACUUAACUCUGCGCCCGCGCAGCCAGCUCCGGUCGCAACGAACAACACGUCAACACCUACUAGCCGUCCUGCUCCCACACUGCCUCCGACCCGUGCACAGCGAUCGGCCGCCGUGAAAACGAAAGAGAGAAUAGCAUCUCAGGCAAAACAACCGACCCGGGCGAAGCGCACCGAUCUGCCACCGAAAGAUGACCCGCCACGGACAAUGGUGGACGAUAAAAUAAAUAUGACCGCGGGUAACUGCUCUAACUCGUUAACGGUAAUUGAUUCGCUUACAGACCCAAUUGACUCAGAAUUAGACGACCCAGAACCGUCGAUAAUUACUAGUAAGCCCGCUGAAAAUGUAUGGGAAACAGCUCAAAGUCGUAACAGUCGUCGAAAAAAUCGCAAAGCUACUGUAUCGAUUAAAGGAACCGCAACAGAUACCUCCUUAAAAGGAGUAACGAUACAUAGGUAUUUACAUGGAUGUUAUUUCAGUAACGACACAACACCUGAAUCCGUGAUAAAUCACCUAAAUAGCGUUCAUGGUGGUGUCGACUAUACAGUAGAAAAAAUACCAUCCAAACGGGACAGUUAUAACUCAUUCAAGAUAGGAAUCCCCAGCGGUGUGUAUGAAAAGUUUUUAUCUACAUCAGUUUGGCCUCUAAACAUUAAAAUCUCCGAAUGGCAGCCGUUUCUCCGACGCAGGGAGACCAUGUCUCCCUCCAACACCCCCGCACCAAGUGAAAACAAAUGAUAAAAUGCUUGACGUACUACACUUAAAUAUUAAUAGAUUGCAUAAUAAAACGUACAAACUAGAAAGUGAACUGCAACUUCGUGAUAAGGUUGACAUUCUGUGCUUGUCCGAGCACUGGCUGGAUACAAAACAAAUAACCUCUGUUAACAUAGUCAACUUCCGUCUGCGGGCCCACUACUGCCGACCGUCGAGGAUGGGUGGAGGAGUCUGCAUCUACGCCAGCCCCGAGAUCAUCACAAUGGAGCGCAAAGAAAUCACUAACUUGUCUGUUGAAAUGCAGUUUGAAGUGUGUGCAAUCGAGUUGAUACAGUUAAAUAUCUCGGUUUUGAAAUCGAUGCCGGGCUGACAUGGGGCCCCCACAUCCAGUCGACUUGCGAUAGACUGGCCUCUGCCUGCUAUGCGCUGUCCAGGUUAGCGCCCAGUCUGACUACUGAAAAUCUCAAAAUGGCGUAUUACGGUUAUUUCCAUUCGAUCCUUACACAGGGUGUUGAUCUCUGGGGCACUGCUGCAGACCGGGAUAGGGCGUUCAGGAUGCAAAAACGCGCCCUCCGUAUAAUCGAUGGUAAACCAACUGACCACCCAGCAAAAUUGUUAUUUAAAAAACAUAACAUACUAACUUUACCUAGUAUAUUUGUUUUGUCGGCUUGUAUGUACGUCAGAACAAAUAUAAAUAUGUAUAAAACUAGUGCACCUAUACAUACUCACGACCUGCCCCCCCGCAGACCUCCCCUUCUACUUGUUCCGAUGCGCCGGCUUGCUAAAUCACGACGGUCACUUGGUGUAAUCGGACCAAGGCUUUAUAAUUCACUUCCGUCUAAAUUAAAGGACUCGAAAAGUGACUCAAUUUUUAAAAAAGACCUUAAACUAUUACUCAUUAGUCAUGCUUGCUACUCGAUUGAAGAAUUUAUGUGUAUAAUAACAACCAAGGAUCGUUGACCCAAAAUUGCACUAAA